rnacentral:rRNA from 1 species
AGAGUUUGAUCCUGGCUCAGGAUGAACGCUAGCUACAGGCUUAACACAUGCAAGUCGAGGGGCAGCGGGAUUGAAGCUUGCUUCAAUUGCCGGCGACCGGCGCACGGGUGAGUAACGCGUAUCCAACCUUCCGUACACUCAGGGAUAGCCUUUCGAAAGAAAGAUUAAUACCUGAUGGUAUCUUAAGCACACAUGUAAUUAAGAUUAAAGAUUUAUCGGUGUACGAUGGGGAUGCGUUCCAUUAGGUAGUAGGCGGGGUAACGGCCCACCUAGCCAACGAUGGAUAGGGGUUCUGAGAGGAAGGUCCCCCACAUUGGAACUGAGACACGGUCCAAACUCCUACGGGAGGCAGCAGUGAGGAAUAUUGGUCAAUGGACGAGAGUCUGAACCAGCCAAGUAGCGUGAAGGAUGAAGGUCCUACGGAUUGUAAACUUCUUUUAUAAGGGAAUAAACCCUCCCACGUGUGGGAGCUUGUAUGUACCUUAUGAAUAAGCAUCGGCUAACUCCGUGCCAGCAGCCGCGGUAAUACGGAGGAUGCGAGCGUUAUCCGGAUUUAUUGGGUUUAAAGGGAGCGCAGACGGGUCGUUAAGUCAGCUGUGAAAGUUUGGGGCUCAACCUUAAAAUUGCAGUUGAUACUGGCGUCCUUGAGUGCGGUUGAGGUGUGCGGAAUUCGUGGUGUAGCGGUGAAAUGCUUAGAUAUCACGAAGAACUCCGAUUGCGAAGGCAGCCUGCUAAGCUGCAACUGACAUUGAGGCUCGAAAGUGUGGGUAUCAAACAGGAUUAGAUACCCUGGUAGUCCACACGGUAAACGAUGGAUACUCGCUGUUGGCGAUAUACUGUCAGCGGCUUAGCGAAAGCGUUAAGUAUCCCACCUGGGGAGUACGCCGGCAACGGUGAAACUCAAAGGAAUUGACGGGGGCCCG